GUCGUGAGGCAUGCUGGAGGUAUCAGAAGUGCGAAUGCUGACAUAAGUAACGAUAAAGCGGGUGAAAAGCCCGCUCGCCGGAAGACCAAGGGUUCCUGUCCAACGUUAAUCGGGGCAGGGUGAGUCGACCCCUAAGGCGAGGCCGAAAGGCGUAGUCGAUGGGAAACGGGUUAAUAUUCCCGUACUUGGUGUUACUGCGAAGGGGGGACGGAGAAGGCUAUGUUGGCCGGGCGACGGUUGUCCCGGUUUAAGCGUGUAGGUGUGUGUUCCAGGUAAAUCCGGUUCACUUUAACACUGAGGCGUGACGACGAGGCACUACGGUGCUGAAGCAACAAAUGCCCUGCUUCCAGGAAAAGCCUCUAAGCAUCAGGUAACAUCAAAUCGUACCCCAAACCGACACAGGUGGUCAGGUAGAGAAUACCAAGGCGCUUGAGAGAACUCGGGUGAAGGAACUAGGCAAAAUGGUGCCGUAACUUCGGGAGAAGGCACGCUGACACGUAGGUGAAGUGAUUUACUCAUGGAGCUGAAGUCAGUCGAAGAUACCAGCUGGCUGCAACUGUUUAUUAAAAACACAGCACUGUGCAAACACGAAAGUGGACGUAUACGGUGUGACGCCUGCCCGGUGCCGGAAGGUUAAUUGAUGGGGUCAGCGCAAGCGAAGCUCCUGAUCGAAGCCCCGGUAAACGGCGGCCGUAACUAUAACGGUCCUAAGGUAGCGAAAUUCCUUGUCGGGUAAGUUCCGACCUGCACGAAUGGCGUAAUGAUGGCCAGGCUGUCUCCACCCGAGACUCAGUGAAAUUGAACUCGCUGUGAAGAUGCAGUGUACCCGCGGCAAGACGGAAAGACCCCGUGAACCUUUACUAUAGCUUGACACUGAACAUUGAGCCUUGAUGUGUAGGAUAGGUGGGAGGCUUUGAAGUGUGGACGCCAGUCUGCAUGGAGCCGACCUUGAAAUACCACCCUUUAAUGUUUGAUGUUCUAACGUGGACCCGUUACCCGGGUUGCGGACAGUGUCUGGUGGGUAGUUUGACUGGGGCGGUCUCCUCCUAAAGAGUAACGGAGGAGCACGAAGGUUGGCUAAUCCUGGUCGGACAUCAGGAGGUUAGUGCAAUGGCAUAAGCCAGCUUGACUGCGAGCGUGACGGCGCGAGCAGGUGCGAAAGCAGGUCAUAGUGAUCCGGUGGUUCUGAAUGGAAGGGCCAUCGCUCAACGGAUAAAAGGUACUCCGGGGAUAACAGGCUGAUACCGCCCAAGAGUUCAUAUCGACGGCGGUGUUUGGCACCUCGAUGUCGGCUCAUCACAUCCUGGGGCUGAAGUAGGUCCCAAGGGUAUGGCUGUUCGCCAUUUAAAGUGGUACGCGAGCUGGGUUUAGAACGUCGUGAGACAGUUCGGUCCCUAUCUGCCGUGGGCGCUGGAGAACUGAGGGGGGCUGCUCCUAGUACGAGAGGACCGGAGUGGACGCAUCACUGGUGUUCGGGUUGUCAUGCCAAUGGCACUGCCCGGUAGCUAAAUGCGGAAGAGAUAAGUGCUGAAAGCAUCUAAGCACGAAACUUGCCCCGA
rnacentral:rRNA from 2 species